rnacentral:lncRNA from 1 species
UUGUUUUAAAUGCUACACCAGUUUGCCACCCGGGGCUCCUUAGGGGCAGAAGGGUGGCGUCUCUGAGAUGACCUUCCCCAGCUCUAAAACCAUAUAAAAGGCGAGAUCAUGGGCCAACCAGGAAUCUGCCCCCCACCCUGCCCCAUUCCUGCUUUUUAUUUAAUCUCCCUCCCUCCAAGGACUGCAAGGAGUCAGUGGAGAUGAGGCUUGCUUCCUCUUCAUUCUGGUUUCACAUUCUCCGGGGCUCUGUGCUGACGAUGAGAGUGCAUUUCAGGGAAGAGCCUUGAAACCUUCGAGACAUACCCAGCACACAAAAGAAAACUGUCACCACUUUCCCCCGUCCCCCCCCUUCUCCUCUUCCUGCAUCAGUCACAUCAUCGACUGCGUCACCCUCUGAAGUUCUGCAUAGCAGAAAUGAUAAAAGUUCCUUUCCAAUUGAUUUCAGGGGUGGGGCCAGAGGGGAAAAAGAGUUUUCUUUUUCUUUUUUUGAAGGAAUAAGCAGAGAGAGAGAGAGAAAGAGGGAGAGAGGUUGGCAGAACAUUCUUUCUGCACAGAACAGAGGAACCAGCCAGGGACAGCAAGCUAGAUCUGUGAAUUAGAAAGAAAUAAUAACUUCUCUUCCAAACCACAUCCAUGGAAUUAUUUUGGUUCAGCUUCUCCUUGUCUUUGAUGGUAGCUCACGUCGCCGGCCUUGAAUGCUACGCUUGUGAUGGCGACAGCGACUGCCAGGAAACGGAGAUCUGCGAAGAUUACCAAGAGCAAUGCAGCACCACCAUAAUGACUAUACUGGCCCGAUCUAAGAUCUCCAGUUACAUCCUGAAGGGCUGUGACGUGGGUGGGAAGCCAAACAGCUCCAUCUCCCACCUCUCUGGCAACCAGGUCGUGUUCUUGGCAGAGGAGCACUGCGGGACUGACCUCUGCAACCAGGGGGUGCUAAACGGUCAGUCCAUGUGA